AUGUGUGUGUCUCUGUGUGUAAGUGUGUUUGUGUGUGUGUGUGUGUCUCUCUCUGUGUGUGUGUGUGUGUGUAAGUGUGUAUGUGUUUGUGUGUAUAUGUGUCUCUCUCUCUCUGUGUGUGUGUGUGUGUGUGUGUGUGUUAGGCCCCGCCCCCUCUGCAGGAGUUGUGCGCCGCGUUGCUUCAGUCUGAUCAGAUCAGAGUCACGCGGCGCUGCUGUCUGUCUCUCCGUGUGUUUCUCCGUGUGUUUCUCCGUGAGUCUGUCCUCGGCGGAUGAGCGGAAGCACGCGUGUGUUCUGCGGGAAUCCGUCUGUUUCAGCGCAGUGUUUCAAACACUAGUAAUCUUCAGUGUGCCAGACUAAAUCAGACCGCGCUCGAUUGAAGGGCAGUGGAUAGUUGACCUCGUCCAUCUCCAGCACCACUUUCCCAGGACGCCAGAAUUAGAGGCUCUUCUGUUCUUCUGUCAGGCUUCAGAAAGCGUUCUCUGACGGGAGGAAUGUGAGGAAUGUGAAGAGGAGACUCGCACCACGGUGAGCUUUCACACCACGACAGACCAGACACGAGCGAUGGUGCGAAAACUCUCAGAUUUGUUUUCACUCUCUCUCUCUUUUGGGUGAUAUCUGAGAGCGAGUGUGCAAAACCAAUCUUUAUGGCCAAAUGAAUCAUUCCCCGAGGCUGUAACUCCAAACACAAGUUUUGAGCGGGCGUGAAAUCAGCUCAGGUUCAUGCAUGCAGACUUAUUUGAAAAAGGUUGUGUUAUUUCCUGUUUUAACCAUCCGUGCCUUAAAAUAUACCAGCAACUGCUUCUGCGAAUAGAGUCCUGUAUCAAACUGAGUCAUUGUGCGAAGACACAUUUGCAAAUGUGGUUUAGACCUGCACCUGCUGCUCCUCUUUUUUAGAAAGCGGUGAGCUUGUUUCUUAAUUAAGAGUCUAAAAAUGAAUCGCAUGUGUGCGGCAAAGGUAAUUAAUGAUCUGAAAGAUUUCUCAAUCCAGAGCAGACGCCAUCUGCUGCUGUCCUUUGAAAAAAACCACUAAACAAAUGUGUUAUGGUCAUUAAAUAUUUGCAUGGUAAUUAGUUGCAACUUUAAACAAGCUGCAUGAAGCAUUCCUGGAUCUUUCCCGCUGCUGGUUGAUGGUUUCAGGGAAAGAUCCGCUUGGAAAGAUUCAGAGAAAGUCCAUGCAACUCGUUGAAAAUAUGCAGCAGGAGGUUUUCCUAUCAAACAUAUAAACAGCUGAAAUUCACGACGGUCUGUG
rnacentral:lncRNA from 1 species